rnacentral:rRNA from 2 species
UUCACUUCUUUCUGGCCUCAA